rnacentral:rRNA from 1 species
GGGUUGUGAGGUUAAGCGACUAAGCGUACACGGUGGAUGCCCUGGCAGUCAGAGGCGAUGAAGGACGUGCUAAUCUGCGAUAAGCGUCGGUAAGGUGAUAUGAACCGUUAUAACCGGCGAUUUCCGAAUGGGGAAACCCAGUGUGAUUCGUCACACUAUCAUUAACUGAAUCCAUAGGUUAAUGAGGCGAACCGGGGGAACUGAAACAUCUAAGUACCCCGAGGAAAAGAAAUCAACCGAGAUUCCCCCAGUAGCGGCGAGCGAACGGGGAGCAGCCCAGAGCCUGAAUCAGUGUGUGUGUUAGUGGAAGCGUCUGGAAAGGCGUGCGAUACAGGGUGACAGCCCCGUACACAAAAAUGCACAUACUGUGAGCUCGAUGAGUAGGGCGGGACACGUGGUAUCCUGUCUGAAUAUGGGGGGACCAUCCUCCAAGGCUAAAUACUCCUGACUGACCGAUAGUGAACCAGUACCGUGAGGGAAAGGCGAAAAGAACCCCGGCGAGGGGAGUGAAAAAGAACCUGAAACCGUGUACGUACAAGCAGUGGGAGCACAGAGCAAUCUGUGUGACUGCGUACCUUUUGUAUAAUGGGUCAGCGACUUAUAUUCUGUAGCAAGGUUAACCGAAUAGGGGAGCCGAAGGGAAACCGAGUCUUAACUGGGCGUUAAGUUGCAGGGUAUAGACCCGAAACCCGGUGAUCUAGCCAUGGGCAGGUUGAAGGUUGGGUAACACUAACUGGAGGACCGAACCGACUAAUGUUGAAAAAUUAGCGGAUGACUUGUGGCUGGGGGUGAAAGGCCAAUCAAACCGGGAGAUAGCUGGUUCUCCCCGAAAGCUAUUUAGGUAGCGCCUCGUGAAUUCAUCUCCGGGGGUAGAGCACUGUUUCGGCAAGGGGGUCAUCCCGACUUACCAACCCGAUGCAAACUGCGAAUACCGGAGAAUGUUAUCACGGGAGACACACGGCGGGUGCUAACGUCCGUCGUGAAGAGGGAAACAACCCAGACCGCCAGCUAAGGUCCCAAAGUCAUGGUUAAGUGGGAAACGAUGUGGGAAGGCCCAGACAGCCAGGAUGUUGGCUUAGAAGCAGCCAUCAUUUAAAGAAAGCGUAAUAGCUCACUGGUCGAGUCGGCCUGCGCGGAAGAUGUAACGGGGCUAAACCAUGCACCGAAGCUGCGGCAGCGACGCUUAUGCGUUGUUGGGUAGGGGAGCGUUCUGUAAGCCUGCGAAGGUGUGCUGUGAGGCAUGCUGGAGGUAUCAGAAGUGCGAAUGCUGACAUAAGUAACGAUAAAGCGGGUGAAAAGCCCGCUCGCCGGAAGACCAAGGGUUCCUGUCCAACGUUAAUCGGGGCAGGGUGAGUCGACCCCUAAGGCGAGGCCGAAAGGCGUAGUCGAUGGGAAACAGGUUAAUAUUCCUGUACUUGGUGUUACUGCGAAGGGGGGACGGAGAAGGCUAUGUUGGCCGGGCGACGGUUGUCCCGGUUUAAGCGUGUAGGCUGGUUUUCCAGGCAAAUCCGGAAAAUCAAGGCUGAGGCGUGAUGACGAGGCACUACGGUGCUGAAGCAACAAAUGCCCUGCUUCCAGGAAAAGCCUCUAAGCAUCAGGUAACAUCAAAUCGUACCCCAAACCGACACAGGUGGUCAGGUAGAGAAUACCAAGGCGCUUGAGAGAACUCGGGUGAAGGAACUAGGCAAAAUGGUGCCGUAACUUCGGGAGAAGGCACGCUGAUAUGUAGGUGAAGUCCCUCGCGGAUGGAGCUGAAAUCAGUCGAAGAUACCAGCUGGCUGCAACUGUUUAUUAAAAACACAGCACUGUGCAAACACGAAAGUGGACGUAUACGGUGUGACGCCUGCCCGGUGCCGGAAGGUUAAUUGAUGGGGU